UAACACGUGAGCAACCUGCCUUUCAGAGGGGGAUAACAGUUGGAAACGACUGCUAAUACCGCAUAACGCUGCGAUGGGGCAUCCCGAUGCAGCCAAAGGAGCAAUCCGCUGAAAGAUGGGCUCGCGGCCGAUUAGCUAGUUGGUGGGGCAACGGCCCACCAAGGCGACGAUCGGUAGCCGGACUGAGAGGUUGAUCGGCCACAUUGGGACUGAGACACGGCCCAGACUCCUACGGGAGGCAGCAGUGGGGGAUAUUGCACAAUGGAGGAAACUCUGAUGCAGCGACGCCGCGUGAGGGAAGACGGUCUUCGGAUUGUAAACCUCUGUCUUUGGGGAAGAAAAUGACGGUACCCAAAGAGGAAGCUCCGGCUAACUACGUGCCAGCAGCCGCGGUAAUACGUAGGGAGCGAGCGUUGUCCGGAAUUACUGGGUGUAAAGGGAGCGUAGGCGGGCGAGAAAGUUGAAUGUUAAAUCUACCGGCUUAACUGGUAGCUGCGUUCAAAACUUCUUGUCUUGAGUGAAGUAGAGGCAGGCGGAAUUCCUAGUGUAGCGGUGAAAUGCGUAGAUAUUAGGAGGAACACCAGUGGCGAAGGCGGCCUGCUGGGCUUUAACUGACGCUGAGGCUCGAAAGCGUGGGGAGCAAACAGGAUUGGAUACCCUGGUAGU
rnacentral:rRNA from 1 species